rnacentral:lncRNA from 1 species
AUGCACAAAGCUCGUGCUACUUUUAGUGUGGCGGGCCGUCGGCACCUGUCCCCUCUGUAUCACUCGGCAUUCGAGAACGGCUUGGGAAGAGCUGACAAGGCCACCUCAGGAUGGUCUCGCCCUGUGUUUCAGCCUCACCAUAUCCACCGUCCUGGGUCUCAUGAUGCUUCAGGUAUGGAUCGCCACCAGGUUCUUCCUGCAACCAAAGAUGGGCACAGCCGACACGCAGAAGCCCUUGGCUCUCAACAACAGGAAAGCGUUCCACAACUUCAACUAUUUUCUGUUCUUCUACAACGUGCUGCUGGGCCUGGGCGCCUGCCUCUCCAGGCUGCUCAUCAGCUGCAUCCUGGGCGCGUGGCUCAUCGCCCGCAUCGACAGGACCAUCAUGCAGAGUGGCUAUGAGGGAGCAGACAUGGGUGAGUGGCCAGCCCCUGAUGGCCAAGCAUCUGGGGAGGGCUGGUCUUCACCUUUGUAGAAGCUGCCUGGAGGGCAGGGGUCAGAGGCCCACAGUUCACACUCUUCACUUACAUUCAGAGCUUAUCUUCCCAUGGAGGCUACAAAGCUGAGUAGGAAAAACACACUCAUUCAGAAGGGAGGUCAGGCUAUUAAACCCCUCACAUGUGACAGACCUCUGAGGUACCAUGGCGGGCAGUGAGAGGUAGUGGAAUUCUGUCCAGUUAGCAGGUAAUUUACGAAUGCAUGGCUCUCAAAAUUUUGAGAAAGAACACAUCUCAGAAUUACUGGUAUUAGUUGGAAAUUUCUUUAGUUAAGAAAACGGUCUGUUCAGUUGAAAUACUCCAAAAUCAAAGGCAUUUCUGUGGAGCAAAAAUGGUUUUUGUUCUAUUUCUAGGCCGUGUCCAUUCACUCACUCACUCACCAGUCCUUAUGUGACCAAUGCCUUCUCCAUAUUAGCCAGAGGCUCCGAGCCCCGCUGAGCUUCAAGUUCCCGAUAAAGGGAUGGAUUAGGAUGUCAUCUCUAAGAACUCUUCCAGCUCUUCCUACCUCAUUUUUUAGAUUCUCAGCAAAGACACAGGCACCAUUUAGGAACAAAGUGAUGCUGCAGUUACUCUAUAAAAAGCACGAUGGGGCCGGCCUGGGCAGUCCUGCCUGGCCUGACUCGUCUUCUGGAUUUCAGGCUACAGUGCGUGGAUCGGCAUGCUCUAUGUGGAUCAUUAUCAUACCAACGCUGUGCUCGUCAGCUUUUGCCACAUCCUGAUCACAGGCCACAGGGAGAGGAGGCUGCAGCAGGCCAUCAAAUACUGGUACCUAAACCAGUCAGCAUGUAAGUCUCCUGUUUGAACCUACACUGGGGUUGGACACCAGGAAACGAGCACCCCGAGGCUUCUCUGGGAUCCCUUAGAUGUCCCAGGUUACCCUUCCCCGCCCCCCUUCCUCCUCACUC